rnacentral:rRNA from 1 species
CAGGCUGCAACUCGCCUGCACGAAGUCGGAAUUGCUAGUAAUCGUAGGUCAGCAUACUACGGUGAAUACGUUCCCGGGCCUUGUACACACCGCCCGUCAAACCAUGAGAGUUGGCAACACCCGAGGUCGGUAGUCUAACCGCAAGGAGGACGCCGCCGAAGGUGGGGCUGAUGAUUAGGGUUAAGUCGUAACAAGGUAGC